GUCUUUGUUGAAAAUGCUAUAUGAAUUAGAUUGAGUUUCAUCCAUUUUAAAUCAUAAGAGAUUUGCAUGUUUUUGAAAUGCUCCAAGAAGCCGGAGUACCACGCAAACACUCUUUACGGAUUUGCACCUGGACUCUUGACCAUAAACACAAGAUUUUUGGCUUACCUGAAUUAUUGAUUUGGAAUUGAGUGCUGUGUAACUGUGAGGCAGCACCUCCAUCAUGAAAUGAUUCUAGGGAGGAAAAAAAGUAAUGGAAGGUAAAUUAAGGCACUGUACAUGAUGUUGAAAUAUGCAUUUCAAACAGUGUCCAGUUUAGGGUCUUCAUGUUGGUAGUUCUUAUCAGUUUUGGUCAUAGAGCGGAUAUAAUGACAAUUACCUCGUUUUGAGAACUCUCUAGAUGAUGAAAAGGACCAUGCUCCUCUUUGUCGUGAGACUCCACCUUCUUCAAAACUGUUGUUACUUUCUGCGGAGAGAAGUGGAAUUUCCAAUCAAAUGAAAGCUGAUUUUGUAAAUGAAAAUAUUGCGGUCCAUUGACGUGAACAGUCAGUGGUUCCCGCACUAGCUCACUUUUGAGACGUAACGAUGAAAAACUGAACCCCCUCCUCCAGUUUUGAGACUUUGGCUCCUUUGUACUCUAAAAGAAAAAGAAAAAAAUCCAUGUAUAAGAAUGAUUAAUGUGUGUAUGGACAGGCUGACCAAAAAAAUCAGGAACAUUAUAAAUGUUAAAACAUGCCAUUAGGAAAGAAUUAUGGAAUUUUCUUUUUUUUUUUAAAGUUACAUCCUUUAAAUCUGCUGUAGAGAUUCCUCACUGACCGCUGCAACAUAUUUGCUGGGAGACUUUGAAUUUCAUCCUGAAUUUAUCAUGCCUGCUACAGUAAAAUGGCAGAGUGUUUACUUGCUCAAGGUCACUGUGCUGCUACUUGCUCAUGUCCGCCAAUAUAAUAAAAAUGUUCCCACAGCAAACUGAUGCAAAAAUGUCAGGGACAUGACAAAGCCAUAAUCUUGUACGCCCUGAAAUUAAUCGAGCUGCUUGACUGGACGCUGAGUUACUAAAGCCAGACUGUUGAUUGUGUUAUUGUACAGUUUUGUGGCCAUUUGAUGUAUGUACCAUGUCUGAAUGUGCGUCUUUAGUUGUAUGGGGGACGGGAAUCUGAUAAGCAUAUGCUUCCUCCCGUCCGCCUUUGUCUUCUUAUUCGGUUCCUUCGGGCAAAUCAUAUCACAUUUUGUAAUUGUCAAUGAUUGUCAAUGAUACCGAUGAUGAUGACAUUAAAUUUCAUUUCAUUUCA